UCCGGUUUGGCACCGGCAGUCCCUCUAGAGUCCUCGGCUUUACCCGUUAGUAACUAAAGAAAGGGGUUGCGCUCGUUAUGGGACUUAACCCGACAUCUCACGACACGAGCUGACGACAGCCAUGCAGCACCUGUGAUCGGUUCCGGACUGGAUACCGUUGGCCCCACGUUUCCGCGGGCUACUCCCGACCGCUUUCGCACAUGUCAAGCCCAGGAUAAGGUUCUUCGCGUAGCCUCGAAUUAAGCCACAUGCUCCACCGCUUGUGUGAGCCCCCGUCAAUUCCUUUGAGUUUCAGCCUUGCGGCCAUACUCCCCAGGCGGGGGACUUAGCACUUUAGCUACGGCAGUCAGCCCAUGCCGGCCGACUACCUAGUCCCCAUCGUUUAGGGCCAGGACUAC
rnacentral:misc_RNA from 1 species